GAUGAACGCUAGCGAUAGGCUUAACACAUGCAAGUCGAGGGGCAGCAUGGUCUUAGCUUGCUAAGGCUGAUGGCGACCGGCGCACGGGUGCGUAACGCGUAUGCAACUUGCCUCACAGAGGGGGAUAACCCGUCGAAAGACGGACUAAUACCGCGUACACUCUAUGUUGGGCAUCCAAUGUAGAGGAAAUGAAAUUCGCUGUGAGAUAGGCAUGCGUCCCAUUAGCUAGUUGGUGAGGUAACGGCUCACCAAGGCGACGAUGGGUAGGGGAACUGAGAGGUUGAACCCCCACACUGGUACUGAGACACGGACCAGACUCCUACGGGAGGCAGCAGUGAGGAAUAAUGGUCAAUGGGCGAGAGCCUGAACCAGCCAAGUCGCGUGAAGGAUGACUGUCUUAUGGAUUGUAAACUUCUUUUAUACGGGAAUAACAAGAGUCACGUGUGGCUCCCUGCAUGUACCGUAUGAAUAAGCAUCGGCUAACUCCGUG
rnacentral:rRNA from 1 species